rnacentral:rRNA from 1 species
AUUGAACGCUAGCGGGAUGCCUUACACAUGCAAGUCGAAUGGAGUGGCGAACGGGUGAGUAAUGUAUCGGAACGUGCCCAGUAGCGGGGGAUAACUACGCGAAAGCGUAGCUAAUACCGCAUACUAUUGGAGCGGCCGAUAUGGGAUUAGCUAGUUGGAGGGGGAACGGCUUACCAAGGCGACGAUCCGUAGCAGGUUUGAGAGGACGACCAGCCACACUGGGACUGAGACACGGCCCAGACGCCUACGGGAGGCAGCAGUGGGGAAUUUUGGGCAAUGGGGGAAACCCUGAUCCAGCCAUCCCGCGUGAGCGAUGAAGGCCUUCGGGUUGUAAAGCACUGUUGGCAGGGAAGCGGUACCUGCAGAGUAAGCACCGGCUAACUACGUGCCAGCAGCCGCGGUAAUUC